GGGCAGUGAUGUAACCUAACAUGCCAGCUGUAUCCUAUGAUGAAAACCAGAGGCUGUUUCUGAGCUC
ensembl:snoRNA